AGGUGGAAUGAUUUCUUUUCAAUUGGUCUCUCUUUUAUACUUAGUGGCCUCACUGCUGUGUAAUUACUGGUAUUGGUAUGUUGACCUAGUCUGUUUGCAAAAAGAAGUCGUGGAAGAUCUUAUAGCCGAUUAUGAACUGUUUGAGGACAAUUUGGGUGGAGAUCACAUUAAGCGUCAUUCUCACUUUACAAUUAAGUCGCUUUUCCCCUUGGGCAGAGACAACAGUUUUUUACACUGGAAAAAAAAAACUCUACACUUUUAAUCGAUGUGAAAAAUGUCGCCAAAAAAACUAUUUUUACCGUUGAAGCAAUCCAAGCUUCCCUUAGGCAUCCUUUAUACUGGUCUUUUGAGAUCGCACAACGUACAAUUACCACAGGAGGCUUCCUGA